rnacentral:rRNA from 1 species
AGUGAACGCUGGCGGUAGGCCUAACACAUGCCAGUCGAACGGCAGCACAGUAAGAGCUUGCUCUUACGGGUGGCGAGUGGCGGACGGGUGAGGAAUACAUCGGAAUCUACUUUUUCGUGGGGGAUAACGUAGGGAAACUUACGCUAAUACCGCAUACGACCUACGGGUGAAAGCAGGGGGUCUUCGGACCUUGCGCGAUUGAAUGAGCCGAUGUCGGAUUAGCUAGUUGGCGGGGUAAAGGCCCACCAAGGCGACGAUCCGUAGCUGGUCUGAGAGGAUGGUCAGCCACACUGGAACUGAGACACGGUCCAGACUCCUACGGGAGGCAGCAGUGGGGAAUAUUGGACAAUGGGCGCAAGCCUGAUCCAGCCAUACCGCGUGGGUGAAGAAGGCCUUCGGGUUGUAAAGCCCUUUUGUUGGGAAAGAAAAGCAGCAGGUUAAUACCCCGCUGUUCUGACGGUACCCAAAGAAUAAGCACCGGCUAACUUCGUG